rnacentral:rRNA from 1 species
AGUGAACGCUGGCGGUAGGCCUAACACAUGCAAGUCGAACGGCAGCACAGUAAGAUCUUGCUCUUACGGGUGGCGAGUGGCGGACGGGUGAGGAAUACAUCGGAAUCUACUUUUUCGUGGGGGAUAACGUAGGUAAACUUACGCUAAUACCGCAUACGACCUACGGGUGAAAGCAGGGGAUCUUCGGACCUUGCGCGAUUGAAUGAGCCGAUGUCGGAUUAGCUAGUUGGCGGGGUAAAGGCCCACCAAGGCGACGAUCCGUAGCUGGUCUGAGAGGAUGAUCAGCGACACUGGAACUGAGACACGGUCCAGACUCCUACGGGAGGCAGCAGUGGGGAAUAUUGGACAAUGGGCGCAAGCCUGAUCCAGCCAUACCGCGUGGGUGAAGAAGGCCUUCGGGUUGUAAAGCCCUUUUGUUGGGAAAGAAAAGCAGCAGGUUAAUACCCCGCUGUUCUGACGGUACCCAAAGAAUAAGCACCGGCUAACUUCGUG